rnacentral:lncRNA from 1 species
GCAGUAGACUGUCAAUUGCAUCGAUAAGUAAAUUUCGGAGUUGCAUCCUAGAAAGCAAGGUUAUAGACUUAAACUUUCUCAGUUAUUUGGGGGCCCACGUGUCAUUGUAAUUUAAAUUGCAUACUCCAGUUUUAUAUAUUACAGUAUAUAUAAAUUUAUUUUUUUUAUUUGCAGAAAAUUAAUUUUUGAUGUUUCAAAUAUAUAUAUAUUGUUUUACAUUAAAAUAGAUUAUUUUAAUUAAUAUUUUUAUUUUAUUUUAUUAUUCAAAAAAAAAGAAAAAAGAGAGGAAUGGAAAAACUGGUACAAAAGCCUUGCGAGGUCUCGAAAGGUAUUCGGGGGAAGAAUGUCUGUCGAGGCUUCGAGGCGGUUGUCACGGGCUCGAUGAGAGUUCCGAGUCGUGACAGAUUAAGUAUUAAUCUUCAACAUUAUAUUCUUUGUGUUUUAUCAUUUUCAUUGUUGUUGUUUCAACUUCAUAGUCGGUGCAUCACGAUAAUGUGAUUAUCUAGCUGCUUAUUAUUUAAGGAUAAUUUUCUCACAAAUUCGAGCAAUUAUUAUGAUUGGGAAUUACUCAAGUUCAAGGAGUUGAGCAAAACUAGUUUAGGCCAUUUGGAGUUUGGUUGAUUUGUAAGAAUUUCUCUUGCUCCUUGAUAAUGAUUACAGUCUCAGUUAACCAGGGUAGAAAUUCAUAAAUGUUGAGAAGAAAGUAUCAAGAAGCUCUACGGCAAUCAAACACUCAUGGUCUUCAUAGAAAAACAGAGACCUCUAAAUUUUGCACAGUAAUCUGAAUAUCAGAUAUUCUUGCAGGACUCAACAAUAAAUCAGUUUUGCAAAAAAGAAAUGAUUAAUACCAAUCUCAAUUUAUAAAUAUAUCAGUUCUUUGAAUUUGGCAGGUUUACUGAAGAAAGAUCAUGAAACACAUACGGUAAUUGGUUCAUAACUUGCCUCGAAGGAUGCAGAUUAGAAGUGGGCCCCGUAACAAGUUAGGCAGUUUUGUGGCUGGAGUGAAAUGCUGCGUGACUAUAGCAGCGCCAAUUAAUGCCACGUGUGCUUGUCCCAAAUGCUCCUUUUUCUGGUAUUUUACAGCUCUUUCCUAUUUCAACAGUUUUCUUUGAUUUUUAUUUACCUGCACUGCAUCUAAAACUUAUGAUGCGUUUAUGCAGCCUCUUCCCCGGAAAACAACACUGCUAUUUGUUAUGCAUCAUAAAAAUAAUAAUAAUAAUAAUAUAUUCUGGAUUUAAUGCCUUUGAAAUUGCUCUAAACUGAUUUGGGAUGCCAUGAGCUCAAACCUUUGAGGUAUAUGUACUUGUUUAUUCCUCUUGAAUAUUUGGAGCCUCUCAUGAGGGAAGAUACACCAGAAGUAAGAGG